UGCAAGUCGAGCGAACAGAUAAGGAGCUUGCUCCUUUGACGUUAGCGGCGGACGGGUGAGUAACACGUGGGUAACCUACCUAUAAGACUGGGAUAACUUCGGGAAACCGGAGCUAAUACCGGAUAACAUUUGGAACCGCAUGGUUCUAAAGUGAAAGAUGGUUUUGCUAUCACUUAUAGAUGGACCCGCGCCGUAUUAGCUAGUUGGUAAGGUAACGGCUUACCAAGGCGACGAUACGUAGCCGACCUGAGAGGGUGAUCGGCCACACUGGAACUGAGACACGGUCCAGACUCCUACGGGAGGCAGCAGUAGGGAAUCUUCCGCAAUGGGCGAAAGCCUGACGGAGCAACGCCGCGUGAGUGAUGAAGGGUUUCGGCUCGUAAAACUCUGUUAUUAGGGAAGAACAAACGUGUAAGUAACUGUGCACGUCUUGACGGUACCUAAUCAGAAAGCCACGGCUAACUACGUGCCAGCAGCCGCGGUAAUACGUAGGUGGCAAGCGUUAUCCGGAAUUAUUGGGCGUAAAGCGCGCGUAGGCGGUUUCUUAAGUCUGAUGUGAAAGCCCACGGCUCAACCGUGGAGGGUCAUUGGAAACUGGGAAACUUGAGUGCAGAAGAGGAAAGUGGAAUUCCAUGUGUAGCGGUGAAAUGCGCAGAGAUAUGGAGGAACACCAGUGGCGAAGGCGACUUUCUGGUCUGUAACUGACGCUGAUGUGCGAAAGCGUGGGGAUCAAACAGGAUUAGAUACCCUGGUAGUCCACGCCGUAAACGAUGAGUGCUAAGUGUUAGGGGGUUUCCGCCCCUUAGUGCUGCAGCUAACGCAUUAAGCACUCCGCCUGGGGAGUACGACCGCAAGGUUGAAACUCAAAGGAAUUGACGGGGACCCGCACAAGCGGUGGAGCAUGUGGUUUAAUUCGAAGCAACGCGAAGAACCUUACCAAAUCUUGACAUCCUUUGAAAACUCUAGAGAUAGAGCCUUCCCCUUCGGGGGACAAAGUGACAGGUGGUGCAUGGUUGUCGUCAGCUCGUGUCGUGAGAUGUUGGGUUAAGUCCCGCAACGAGCGCAACCCUUAAGCUUAGUUGCCAUCAUUAAGUUGGGCACUCUAGGUUGACUGCCGGUGACAAACCGGAGGAAGGUGGGGAUGACGUCAAAUCAUCAUGCCCCUUAUGAUUUGGGCUACACACGUGCUACAAUGGACAAUACAAAGGGCAGCUAAACCGCGAGGUCAUGCAAAUCCCAUAAAGUUGUUCUCAGUUCGGAUUGUAGUCUGCAACUCGACUACAUGAAGCUGGAAUCGCUAGUAAUCGUAGAUCAGCAUGCUACGGUGAAUACGUUCCCGGGUCUUGUACACACCGCCCGUCACACCACGAGAGUUUGUAACACCCGAAGCCGGUGGAGUAACC
rnacentral:rRNA from 1 species